CCUACGGGAGGCUGCAGUGAGGAAUAUUGGUCAAUGGGCGGGAGCCUGAACCAGCCAAGCCGCGUGAGGGAAGAAGGUACAGCGUAUCGUAAACCUCUUUUGUCAGGGAACAAAGGCGGGGACUAGUCCCCGGAUGAGGGUACCUGAAGAAAAAGCAUCGGCUAACUCCGUGCCAGCAGCCGCGGUAAUACGGAGGAUGCGAGCGUUAUCCGGAUUGAUUGGGUUUAAAGGGUGCGCAGGCGGCCUGUUAAGUCAGCGGUAAAAGCCCGGGGUGCAACCCCGGGGAGCCGUUGAAACUGGCGGUCUGGAGUUGGAGAGAAGUACGCGGAAUGCGCGGUGUAGCGGUGAAAUGCUUAGAUAUCGCGCAGAACCCCGAUUGCGAAGGCAGCGUACCGGCUCCACACUGACGCUGAGGCACGAAAGCGUGGGUAUCGAACAGGAUUAGAUACCCCAGUAGUC
rnacentral:rRNA from 1 species